GAUGAACGCUGGCGGCGUGCCUAAUACAUGCGAGUCGAGCGAACGGACGAGAAGCUUGCUUCUCUGAUGUUAGCGGCGGACGGGUGAGUAACACGUGGAUAACCUACCUAUAAGACUGGGAUAACUUCGGGAAACCGUAGCUAAUACCGGAUAAUAUUUUGAACCGCAUGGUUCAAAAGUGAAAGACGGUCUUGCUGUCACUUAUAGAUGGAUCCGCGCUGCAUUAGCUAGUUGGUAAGGUAACGGCUUACCAAGGCAACGAUGCAUAGCCGACCUGAGAGGGUGGUCGGCCACACUGGAACUGAGACACGGUCCAGACUCCUACGGGAGGCAGCAGUAGGGAAUCUUCCGCAAUGGGCGAAAGCCUGACGGAGCAACGCCGCGUGAGUGAUGAAGGUCUUCGGAUCGUAAAACUCUGUUAUUAGGGAAGAACAUAUGUGUAAGUAACUGUGCACAUCUUGACGGUACCUAAUCAGAAAGCCACGGCUAACUACGUG
rnacentral:rRNA from 1 species